rnacentral:antisense_RNA from 1 species
CUUCACCGACCCCAACAGCAGCGGCCGGUCGACGGGACGGUCCUGCCCGUACGUCGCCAGCAGAGCCUGCGCCUC